UCCGAGGCCGGGCCGCGGGAGGAGCCGGCCUGGUCCGAGGCCGGGCCGCGGGAGGAGCCGGCCUGGUCCGAGGCCGGGCCGCGGGAC
rnacentral:tRNA from 1 species